UUUGUACUCCCUCCAUCCCAAAAUUCUUGUCUUAAGUUUGUCUAAAUACGGAUGUAUCUAGUUACAUUUUAGUGUUAGAUACAUCCGUAUCUAAACAAAUGUAAGACACGAAUUUUGGGACGGAGGGAAUACUAC
rnacentral:pre_miRNA from 1 species